rnacentral:rRNA from 1 species
AUUGAACGCUGGCGGAAUGCUUUACACAUGCAAGUCGAACGGUAGAGGGGGCAACCCCUCGAGAGUGGCGAACGGGUGAGCAAUAUAUCGGAACGUGCCCAGGCGUGGGGGAUAACGUAGCGAAAGGUACGCUAAUACCGCAUACGAUCUAAGGAUGAAAGCGGGGGAUCGCAAGACCUCGCGCGAUUGGAGCGGCCGAUAUCAGAUUAGGUAGUUGGUGGGGUAAAGGCUCACCAAGCCAACGAUCUGUAGCUGGUCUGAGAGGACGACCAGCCACACUGGAACUGAGACACGGUCCAGACUCCUACGGGAGGCAGCAGUGGGGAAUUUUUGACAAUGGACGCAAGUCUGAUCCAGCCAUUCCGCGUGCAGGAUGAAGGCCCUCGGGUUGUAAACUGCUUUUGUACGGAACGAAAAGGUCUCUCUUAAUACGGGGGACUCAUGACGGUACCGUAAGAAUAAGCACCGGCUAACUACGUGCCAGCCGCCGCAGUAA